rnacentral:rRNA from 1 species
CUCGUAGGCGGCUCCGUAAGUCAGGGGUGAAAGGCCAUGGCUCAACCAUGGACACGCCUCUGAAACUACGGAACUUGAGGUCGGGAGAGGAAAGUGGAAUUCCUGGAGUAGCGGUGAAAUGCGUAGAUAUCAGGAGGAACACCAGUGGCGAAGGCGGCUUUCUAGCCCGAUACUGACGCUGAGGAGCGAAAGCCAGGGGAGCGAACG